rnacentral:misc_RNA from 1 species
AAGGGAGAAGGAAAAGAAAAUAAAGGAGGGGGCGAGAUCAAUUGGGGAAUUGGGCAACAGCACAGAGGAAGGGAAAGGACCACCGACUACUCUCUCUCUCUUUCUCUCUCUCUCUCUCAAUGGUUCCUUUUGUGUUCUCCUUCCAUUCGGUUCGCUACCUUCUUUUUCUCUUUCACGCAGGCGGUGCCACCCGCGAAAUCUCCAUCGGUUUUGGCACCCUCAUUGAAAAAAUA